UUUCGUGAUGAUAAAACUUUCAGACCUGUUCUGAAGGCGGCUUCGGUCGAUCUUUUGAGGACAACCUAUAUUGCCUUUUUUAUCUGAUC
rnacentral:ncRNA from 19 species